rnacentral:rRNA from 1 species
AACGAACGCUGGCGGCAGGCCUAACACAUGCAAGUCGAGCGCGCCCCCAACUUCGGUUGGAUCGGUGAGCGGCGGACGGGUUAGUAACGCGUGGGAACGUGCCCUUUAGCUCAGAAUAGCCCUUGGAAACGAGGAGUAAUACUGGAUACGCCCUUCGGGGGAAUAAAGGAUCGGCCCGCGUUAGAUUAGGUAGUUGGUGGGGUAACGGCCUACCAAGCCUACGAUCUAUAGCUGGUUUGAGAGGAUGAUCAGCAACACUGGGACUGAGACACGGCCCAGACUCCUACGGGAGGCAGCAGUGGGGAAUCUUGGACAAUGGGCGAAAGCCUGAUCCAGCCAUGCCGCGUGAGUGAAGAAGGCCCUAGGGUCGUAAAGCUCUUUCGCCUGUGAAGAUAAUGACGGUAGCAGGU